AAAAAUAAACGAUAUCGUUUACUUUUUUAAAUGUGGCCAUACUUUGCUUUGUCUUGUCAGUGUUAUAUCAUACGUGAAAAUUGGGAAGCUAGGUUAUGUAGAUUGCAGUGCCGCUUUGAAUAAUCGCCGUUAUAUUUUAUUGAUAAAAGAGUGCCUAAAGCAAGAAUAAACUUUAAAUGUCGUUUCUUUGUUUACAGAGCAACACAUGAAGUUAUUCUUUGUUCCAAUUCAUACCAACAAAAGUGAAAUCAUCUUAUAAAACGACAUUUCUAGUUACAAGAUUCAAGGGAAGAUGACGAAACUUCGUUUUGAAUUCACAAUACUACCUGGAAGUGACGAAAAAACAAAUGUCUGUUGUGUAACGUCAAUAACCACCGAGGACAACAAGAGUUAUGCAUUACCGGACGGAUUGCAGUCAGUUAGCCAGCACAAAGAAUUGAUAAAGACAGCGGCGUAUAGUAAGGUGAAAAAUAGUCUGUCGAAAAGGUACCAGACAAGGAGAAUUUGGAUCUCGCUGACCGAGGAACUGGAGCAAAUUUAUAUGGAUGAGGAUGGCAAUGUACAGUUUGCAGACAGAUACCUGGAGGAAUUAAAUCAGGACCAAUGUGCUUCUACUACACCCACUGCUGCCGGCACAAAAGGGACCAAUACUUUAGAAAAAUUGUUAGAAAAAAUAAUAGAAAGUACACAGGAAAGUAAACAACCGAGCUUGAAGAAUAUUGCGGACAAGUUUGUGAUAGAGAAGUUUACUAGCAAGCAUUCUAAUGCAACUCAAUGGAUGGACAUUUUUGAAAAGGAAUGUGAGCGCUUCCAGAUAUCGGAUGAAAAUAAGAUUGAAGUUCUUAGGCUCUUUAUGGAUAAAAGUUGUGUAGAUUGGUAGAGUUCCUUGGUUAUAAAAUUGACUAUGAAGGCAGAAUGGUCUGAGUGGAGGAAAAAAUUUUGUGAAUCAUUUGUUAGCAAAGGGUGGAGCCCAGUUACAUAUGCAUUACUGUAUAAAUAUAAGGAUGGCUCACUGUUGGAUUAUGCUAUAAAGAAAGAAAAGCUUUUACUUGAUAUGAGAAAGUCAAUUGAUUCUGGUACAUUGGUGGAUCUUAUUGCAGUUGGUUUGCCGGAGUACAUAUUAAACAAAAUUGAUAGAGAAGCGUUGAAGGACACAGUUGAGUUGUUCAAUGAGGUAAGCAAGUAUGAACAUAUGGUUAACAAAAAAAGUUAUGUAUUUAAGAGGAAAUAUGGACCCUCAAGAACAAGUUUCAAGAAUGAGGAUCUAAAGCCGUGUAAAAUCUGUGAAGGUUUAAACAAAGGCACCCGUUAUCACUCUGAGACUGCAUGUUGGUUUCGUACUAAAGAAGAUGACAAAGUAAAGAAGAACUUCAUUAAACAUGUGAAUAAUGCAGUGAUAGAGGCAGAGUUAAAUGAAUCUGUUCCAAAAAACGAAUAAUAACACCACUAAUUAAGGUCAAAAUACUAGUAAAUGAUAAACAUCAGAUAAAUGCAGUUUAUGAUCCAGGUUCAGUUGUUUCCAUUAUAAAUUCUAAACUCUUAAGCCUAAAAGGGAAAGGAAACGAAUUGAACGAAGAAAAUUUAGUAACAGUUGGUGGUGUUAAAAAAACGAACGGUUUGACCAAACUAAAAAUAAAGAUUUUUAAUAUAGAGGAAAAUGUUGAUAUAUCCAUUGUGGAUGAACAAUAUUUUAAGCAUGAUUUCCUGAUUGGCUUGGACCUGAUAAAAAUAUUUCGAUUGACUCAAGAUGAGAAAUUGGAGAUAAAUCAGGUACUGGGUACAAAUAUGAAAAAUAAUGAGAAAGUGAUAGUUUCAAAUGAAGAAAUAAUUCAUGACCAAUCGAAUGUUCCUGGGGACGAUGAGAAUACUACAAAAGAAUAUUAUGUUAAUUUUAAUGAGCAUGUAAAGGUGGAGGAUUUUACGAUAAAGAUUGGUCAUUUGAACAAGGAACAACAGUCUGAAAUAAAUACAUUGAUAAAUAAAUAUAACACAGUUUUUGCAAGGCAUAAAUAUGAUGUUGGGACUGUCAAUGGAUAUGAAGCCAGAAUAGACUUGUUGGUGGACAAAUAUUGCAGCAAGAGGCCGUACAGAUGUACUAUGGAAGAUAAAAAAGAGAUAGAAGAGCAAAUUGGAAAGUUACUAGAUAAUAAGUUAAUAGAAGAAUCCUAUAGUCCAUUUGCUGCACCAGUCACAUUGGCAUUUAAGAGAGAGGAGAAUAAAAAAUCAAGAUUAUGUAUUGACUUUAGGGACUUAAAUAAAAUAGUAGUACCACAAGGUCAGCCCUUUCCAUUGAUUGAAGAUCUUAUGAUGAAGACUAGGAA